rnacentral:rRNA from 1 species
AUACGGAGGAUCCGAGCGUUAUCCGGAUUUAUUGGGUUUAAAGGGUGCGCAGGCGGGAGAUUAAGUCGGCGGUGAAAUUUUGCAGCUCAACUGUAAAAGUGCCUUCGAAACUGGUUUCCUUGAGUGUAGAUGAAGUAGGCGGAAUUUGUGGUGUAGCGGUGAAAUGCAUAGAUAUCAAGAGAAACUCCGAUGGCGCAGGCAGCUUACUAAACUACUACUGACGCUCAGGCACGAAGGCGUGGGGAUCAAACAGGAUUAGAUACCCUGGUAGUCCACGCAGUAAACGAUGAUUACUAGCUGUUUGCGAUACAAUGUAAGCGGCUGAGCGAAAGCGUAAGUAAUCCACCUGGGGAGUACGUUCGCAAGAAUGAAACUCAAAUGAAUUGACGGGG